CGCCUGAAAAUUCCGGAAGCACCAAAGAGGAUUCGGAAUUUUCAGGCGGAUCCACCACCGAACAUCCGAAAAUUUAAGGCGGAUGGGUAGAGCCGCCUGAAAAUUUCGGAUCCUCCUUGAUACUUCCGGAAUUUUCAGGCGGAACUCUAAUUUUUUUUUUUUUUUCCAAAUUUUACAUAAUUUGAUUUUUUUUAGAGAGAAGAAAUGAGAGUGAGGUGAGUUGUGAUUUCAGAAUUGAGUGUUGUGAGUGUCGUGAGUAUUUAGGGGUAAAUACGGAAGUUUAUAUAAAAAAUGCGAGCGAUACCUAGUAAAAUGAAAGCGACGAACAACCCCCUUCUUUUUUUUUUUCUUUUUUUUUUUUUUUUUGUGUUUUAUUUAUGCAAAGAGAACGUGUGUAAAGAAAUUGAAGCCAAAACAUUGACAAAUGCCAUGCAUGCAUUCAUGCAACUAAGUGCCUCAUCACUUGCAUGACUGCCAACAGUAUGUUGUAUCCUAUCAGUCAUCACGUGUCCAAGUACGUUUUUUUAUUUUUUAUUUUAUUUAUUUUUGGUUUUAUUUAUGCUUUUUGUUAUUUGCCAGCUAUGUUGUAUCUCAUCAUGUAUCGACCUUCUUCCACACGUCACAUCACCACCUCCUAUUAUUUUUCUUUUUGAUGAUAAUUCUCACUUCUCUUUCCUAUUUUCUGUCUCAUCCAUAAACAAUACUACAAAAAAUACAAUGUAUGACCCAUAUUUAUCACUUUAUAUUGUCUUUUAUUUUGUCGUUAAUAACACAUCAACUUGAAAUUAAUUUGAUUUUACCUUUUAACUUUAUUACUCUAGAUAAUAAUGAAUGAAAUUAAGAAGAGUAUAUUCAACUUAUCUUACAAUUAAAUUGUUAAAGCAAAAAUAAUUAAACUUGCAUAAGCACAAAUCAUGGAACUUCUGAGUAUUCAUUUUUUUUUCCUGCCAAAUAUUUUAAUUCCUACAUUGUAUCAUUUUAUUUAUGUAGGAGGGAUCCUUGUGUACCGAAGGCUAUCACCACAGAAAUUCUAUAAUUGAAUAUUUUAGAGAUCCAGUUGUUGUAGUUUUGCAAGGGACAAACGGGAAAUCUGUUCACGAGCGAGGAACUCAAUGUAAUUCGAGACAUGUUGGCGCCCUACAUCACAUUUAAUUUGUUCAAAUCAUAUUGCAGAACAACACAAUGGUUACUCAACGACUUCCCCUUGCUAGACUGACAGACCAGAGCCGAAACUUUAUUACAACAGCUACAUUAAUAAAGAAGCACCCAGCUAAAAAAUCUCGCGGCGGCGGGACAA